GACGAACGCUGGCGGCGUGCUUAACACAUGCAAGUCGAACGGAAAGGCCCUGCUUUUGUGGGGUGCUCGAGUGGCGAACGGGUGAGUAACACGUGAGUAACCUGCCCUUGACUUUGGGAUAACUUCAGGAAACUGGGGCUAAUACCGGAUAGGAGCUCCUGCUGCAUGGUGGGGUUUGGAAAGUUUCGGCGGUUGGGGAUGGACUCGCGGCUUAUCAGCUUGUUGGUGGGGUAGUGGCUUACCAAGGCUUUGACGGGUAGCCGGCCUGAGAGGGUGACCGGCCACAUUGGGACUGAGAUACGGCCCAGACUCCUACGGGAGGCAGCAGUGGGGAAUAUUGCACAAUGGGCGGAAGCCUGAUGCAGCAACGCCGCGUGCGGGAUGACGGCCUUCGGGUUGUAAACCGCUUUCGCCUGUGACGAAGCGCGAGUGACGGUAAUGGGUAAAGAAGCACCGGCUAACUACGUG
rnacentral:rRNA from 1 species